rnacentral:rRNA from 1 species
GCCUGGGCACAAACCAAUUAUWUUAUUCGCCGGAAGAUUACGGGUGAAAACCUAAAACUCAAAAGACUUGACGGUGUCACAACCUACCUAGAGGAGCCUGUUCCAUAAUCGACAACCCACGAUAAACCUAACCACCCCUAGACCCCAAUAAAUCAGCCUAUAUACCGCCGUCGCCAGCCCACCUUUCAAAAGCUUUAAAGUGAGCUAAACAGUAUAAUACUAAUAAGUCAGGUCAAGGUGUAGCUCAUGGGGUGGAGGAAAUGGACUACAUUAUUUAUACUAAAUAUACGAAUUAUCUUUAUGAAACAAAAGAAUGAAGGUGGAUUUAGCAGUAAUUUAAACAAGAAUAUUUAAAUUAAUAUUAGCUCUGAGACAUGUACACA